ACCGAAUUGGUGUAGGGGUUAACAUUCAAGAUUCUCAAUCCAAAGAGUUCUCUUGAGCCAGGAGUUCGAGUCUCCUAUUCGGUG